rnacentral:tRNA from 1 species
AUUUAUAUAGUUUAAUAAAACGUUACAUUUUCAUUGUAAAAUUAGAUAAUUUAAUCUUAUAAAUA